rnacentral:rRNA from 1 species
AUACGUAGGGUGCAAGCGUUAAUCGGAAUUACUGGGCGUAAAGCGUGCGCAGGCGGUUUUGUAAGACAGUGGUGAAAUCCCCGGGCUCAACCUGGGAACUGCCAUUGUGACUGCAAGGCUGGAGUGCGGCAGCGGGGGAUGGAAUUCCGCGUGUAGCAGUGGAAUGCGUAGAUAUGCGGAGGAACACCGAUGGCGAAGGCAAUCCCCUGGGCCUGCACUGACGCUCAUGCACGAAAGCGUGGGGAGCAAACAGGAUUAGAUACCCUGGUAGUCCACGCCCUAAACGAUGUCAACUGGUUGUUGGGGAUUUAUUUUCUCAGUAACGAAGCUAACGCGUGAAGUUGACCGCCUGGGGAGUACGGCCGCAAGGUUAAAACUCAAAUGAAUUGACGGGG